CUAGGGAGUUUUUAUUAAUAUUAUAUAACCAUUCUGCUGAAAAUGAGCUUUUUUCUGUGUCUAGAAGAGGGCUGCCACUUUUCUCCAAUGAUCCUGGAAAAAAAUCUUUUCCUUGCUUCUUGGUGAGAAUUGAAGAUUGAGGAAGAAAACUGAAGAUUGAAAUUAUGAAGCUCUGAAUUGCAGCCCCUUUGUUCUACCCUCUGAUAUGAUUGAAUUAGUAUCUACAGAAGGAUAGGAAUGACUGAAAGAGGAUACUACACCCAAACUGCUCAGAACUAAAGGGGGAAAAAGUUCCAUAAUCACAUCACAGAGGAAUCACCAUAAUAUAGUAAAUAUGGGCUAGGAAAUCUUUGAGAGUCAUGGUAGGAGAAAAAUCCGUCACUAUGUGGUGUACUUGGUGAUAAGAAUCUAGUCCUUGGACAACAGAUCCACAGCAUGUCAUCGAACCUGCACCUGAAGUCCUAGCUUGGCAAGAACUCCUAGAAUGUAUGCUUUAUUGGCAAGACCUUCUGUAAGAAAGCAGCAGAACUAAGAGCAGAUCAGAGAACAAACAAGAAAAAGACCUAUGCCUGCAGACAACCUUCCCUUCUAGGAGCCACUUAGCAUUGACUUGGGGCCGAGAUACAUUGGAGACGUGUACUAUCAACCGCAAAGCCCAAGAAGAAAGUUUCCGAACUAAACUUUGGAAAAAGAUUUGUAUAACUUCUUAGCCCAUAAGAUGGUAGUUAACAAGAUAGGAACCACAAGUGUCCAGGAGUUCUACCAGAAGCUACUCUAGAGGCCUUCUACUCUAAGACAAUGGUUGAUCUCACGGCAGUUAUUUCUGAAGCAACUCAAGAUUGUUAUAAGAAGCAGGCUUAGAUAAUGGCCACUUCCCAAGAUUGCCAUAUGCAAACUAAGGCGGAGCAGCCCCAAAGACCAAUCUUGAGCACAAUGCCCUGCAUCCUGGCUAACCAAAACACACCAAACCUCCAGGGAUAGAUAAAAGCUCCCUGUUAUCUUCAAUCAAAGUUUUAGAAUUGGGCCACCAUUGCAGACCCUGUAAAGAAAAACAUCAAAUAGAGAAAUCUUAAGAAAAUUUUCCUCAGAUCUCUUCUGUUUGCUGAAUUCGGAUAGUACUGUCAGUUAUUAAAUCAGUGAAAAACAUAGUAAAAUCUCAUUUGUUCAGACCACAACAUAUCAGCAUUUGCAAUGUCUCAUACAGACUGAUUUGUGAUUGUUCUCUUUAACUAGAAAAAUGUUUUUAAUUAAUAUAAAUAGCAUUCAAAACUGAUGCUUUGUAUUAUGGUGAUUUGUGUAGUUUUAUUUUACCUAGUAGACUUUGAAUGUCUUGAAAAGAACAUAUAUUCAUCCUGCUAAUCAACAAGUAGCAACUACUAUGUGCUAGAACCCCACAUCCUUCAACCAGAAAGGGAUCUCUAUGGCCAUCUUAUCCAACAUGCCUCUCAACAAGGAUCCCUUGAACAGUAUCCUCGACAAAUGUCCGUCUACAUCCCCUUUGUUAGAAGACCUCCAGGUGCAUCCCACUCCAUUUUUUUUUAAUAGUUGUAAUUGUUAGGAAGGUUAAUAGGUCCACAAUCCAUGUAUAUCAGUAUAAACUGAGAGGGUAGCUAAUAGGGUGUAUUACCAUUGCAUGUCAUAUAUUUUGCUCAUAUAGAUACAUGCUAUGAUUAUAUGUAGGCAGUUAAUUUCUGGCAUGACUCUCACAUCAGUAAUGAGUCAUUUCUUAUCUAUUAUAAUGAAUUUUAAAUUUUGUAAUGUUAUUAAAUGCUCACUAUAUUAAAUGCUCAUUCUUUUCUCAAAGAAAGUGUUCCUGAAGUAUGGGUGUGAUACUUAUGUGUAAUCUGUAAAUCUUUGAUCUCUCUCAUUCCUUGUUUUUCAUACAUACUUUCUAAUAUAAUUCUUGCCAUCCUUGCCUGUAUCUAUUUUUCCAUUGAAGUAUCAAAAUGUGUGUUGGAUUAAUUUGAAAAAAAA